CUUGACAAGUCCUAAAACUUCAGAAGGACAAAAAAAAAAUGGAUUUUAAAUGAUGACGUUUUUUUGUGCCCUUGAGGUGAAAAUUGACCCCCCGUUGGCACUUUUAGGGUUAAACAGACAGCUGGUCCCAGAACUGUGCCUAUAUAUACCCUUCUUCAUAUUUCUCCUCCCUGGCUUGACAAUCUCAGUCACUCAUCCCUCCGUCUUGCAACGCUCUCUUCCUUCUAGGAAGGGAUAUCAACCACCGGCCAAGAUGUCAGAUAAAAAGAUGUCGUCGAGUUGCAGGCAACAUCUCAAG